UACGGAGGGUGCAAGCGUUAUCCGGAUUCACUGGGUUUAAAGGGUGCGUAGGUGGGCUAGUAAGUCCGUGGUGAAAUCUCCAAGCUUAACUUGGAAACUGCCGUGGAUACUAUUAGUCUUGAAUAUUGUGGAGGUAAGCGGAAUAUGUCAUGUAGCGGUGAAAUGCUUAGAUAUGGCAUAGAACACCGAUAGCGAAGGCAGCUUGCUACACAAUUAUUGACACUGAGGCACGAAAGCGUGGGGAUCAAACAGG
rnacentral:rRNA from 1 species